rnacentral:rRNA from 1 species
AGAGUGAACGCUGGCGGUAGGCCUAACACAUGCAAGUCGAACGGCAGCACGGUAAGAGCUUGCUCUUAUGGGUGGCGAGUGGCGGACGGGUGAGGAAUACAUCGGAAUCUACCUUUUGGUGGGGGAUAACGUAGGGAAACUUACGCUAAUACCGCAUACGCCCUUCGGGGGAAAGCCGGGGACCAGCAAUGGCUGGCGCUGAUAGAUGAGCCGAUGUCGGAUUAGCUAGGUUGGUGGAGGUAAUGGCUCACCAAGG